UCUCCUCUAAGACCAUUUCCUACCUAAAAAGUCCUCUCUGCCUUCACUGCCCAGCUUGAUCUCACCCCUCCACGAAGCUGCCUUCUGGAUGUCCUGGUUUCUGGAUGACCCCCCUCCUGGAUUGUGGGAGAGAUUCCCAGUCCUCUGAGCUUAAGGCCCUGACUCUUGAGAUAAAAGGCAUUUCAUUCUGCUGCAUGUCACACUUAGGUGUGACCUAUACUGCCCUCCAGGCUGUGACGGCAAGCUGCAAAGAACUGGGGGAGAAGGACUCCUGCAGACCCACUAAGUGCUGCACACAGGCUUGGGAUGCUUUCCCUUUCUGCUCUGAAAGCCCUGAGGCUCCGAGAAUGAGACAAAGCAGCCAUCGGAGAUGUAGACAACAGGGAAAGCUGGGAUGCAUGAGGUAUAUGUGGAAACUCUCUCAGCAAAAACAAAGGCAGAUGCCAGUAACACGUGGCUGGAGGCUAAAGCACAUGGAAAACAGUGAGCCUGAAGAGGUGGGUUGAAUAUCACGUUAAGGUGUCCGUGCUUUAUCCUGAAACUAUGGAGAGAUGGCAAAUAUUUCAUCAAGGGGCUUAACAUGAUCAGCUUGCGGUUAGAUUGCUACUGGACAGACCUGAAGCUAUAACAGAGGCCAGGACAAGAAAUUAUGAAGAUCUGAGUGAAGACAGCAGCAACAGAUGGAGAAAAGGGGCCAGAUUCCAGAGAUAUCCUGAGGUUGUCUUGGAUGGGACCUGGUAAUUGAUUGAUUGAUUGCUGUGAGUGGGAGAAGAAAAGAGUCUAGGAGAAUGCCCAGGUUUCUGGUUUCCCAACGUUAGGUGGGUGGCAGAGCUCUGGAAUGAAGGAGGGGCAGAUCUGAAGACACCAUGACUCCAUCAGCUCCAACACGUUUUUGAGAGAACAUCAUUGCAGGUAUUGUGCAAAACAGUUUCUGGAAUUCUUCCAACCUGACCCUUUCUGGGGGAUUGCUACCUAAAGACAUAUGGCCAAAUUUGCAUUCUUGGAUGCUCAACCUGUUAUUGAGGUCUCUCCAAUGCUUAAGCUAAGGGCUCUUUCUCUAUAUCUUUGCCUACUGGACCUACCUCUGCCCUAGGGGCCCUCACAGACCUGCUCUCUCUGCCCCAGGGAAGCCCUUUAGAGAUCUGCAGAUAGUGCCGACGUCCCCUGAGUCUCUCAUUCUUCAGCUGAACAGUCCCAGACCUUCCCUUGCUCUAACACAAGAUAGUUUCACCCACCCUAGACGUACUCCAGGACACAAAACCUCAUGAGUAUCUACGCAGCCCAGAGUGAGUAGAACACUCACCUUUCUACUUCUAGACAUUAUUUCACUCUGAAUGCCCUCUACAGGUGUGCUCCACCACGCCCAGCUAAUUUUUUUUUUUUUUUUUUGAGAGGGAGUUUCGCUCUGGUUAUCCAGGCUGGAGUGCAAUGGCAUGAUCUCGGCUCACCGCAACCUCCGCCUCCUGGGUUCAGGCAAUUCUCCUGCCUCAGCCUCCUGAGUAGCUGGGAUUACAGGCAUGUGCCACUAUGCCCAGCUAAUUUUUUGUAUUUUUAGUAGAGACGGGGUUUCACCAUGUUGACCAGGAUGGUCUUGAUCUCUUGACCUCGUGAUCCACCCUCCUCGGCCUCCCAAAGUGCUGGGAUUAUAGGUGUGAGCCACCGCGCCCGACUGCUCUUAGAAUGAAUAAGACCCUGGAUGACCUAGUUCCUGCUCACCUCCUCCUCCUGCCCCACGUCUGUCUCCCUGUUUUGUGCUGAAGCCAGGCUGGUUUCUGUUCUGUCCAGGUACUUGUUCCCCCUGCCUGAGACACUCUAGUUUGCAGGGCUGGUCGAUCCUCAGACACCAGGUCUAAGCUCACAAUUCCCCACAAGCACUCUUAUUCUUCCCAAUGUGCCUCCCCGGUCACUCUGCCUCACCAGCCUAUUGGUCCACACCACAGCACUCCAUACUCACCAUUUAUUAUUUGCUUCUUUGUUAUCUUUCUUCCCACCCCAGAAGAUAAACUCCAUGAGAAUACAGACUUUGCCUGUCUUGUUCACUGUUAGCACAGGGUGGACACUCAAGUCAUGCUUUUUGAUUUAUGAAUAAAGGCAAUGUCCUCUCAAAGCUUGUUGUCAUUUGGAAUUCAAUAUUUUCUAAUAUCUUCUAUUCCCUGCAAGAUAUGUCUUUCCAAGAGAGACAUUUACUCUGGUUGGUUUUCUGAUUAGGAACUUUUGAAUCACAUAAAAGAUGUGUGAUGAUAUUUCUCUGUCCAUGCAUCCUUAGGGGUUUUGGAUAGCAUACUUGUCUGAUAAUGAGAUAUUCAGAUUCCCUAUUGGAAUGUUUCGGGCCAAGAUGAAAUAACUACUGUCCUACUGGUCACAUUAGUAGCUUGAGAGGCAUCAGGAGGGACUAGUGGCCAACAGGGGCCCCACCCUCCUGGCAGAAAGACUCCUUUUCCCUGUUCAUGGAUGCAGAUUGAUGUGGGCUGCUGACUGUGUCCCUGCCCGCAGUAGGCUCAAGCCAUGCUUUGCUUUGCAAGCUGUUGAUGCCAAAUGUGACAUGGGAGGAAGGGCUCAUCUUGGGUGUUAGGCAGAAGAUUCCUCUAGAUAUUUUUGACACUGUUUUUUUUUGAGAUGGAGUCUCACUCUGUGGCCCAGGCUGAAGUGCAGUGACAUGAUUUUGGCUCACUGCAACCUCUGCCCCAGGUUCAAGCAAUUCUCCUGCCCCAGCCCACGCCUGGCUAAUACUUGAAUUUUUAGUGGAGAUGAGGUUUCACCAUGUUGGUCAGGCUGGUCUCGAAUGCUUGACCUCAGGUAAUCUGCCCACCUUGGU
ensembl:lncRNA